UACGUAGGGUGCAGGCGUUAAUCGGAAUCACUGGGCGUAAAGCGCACGUAGGCGGACUCUUAAGUCGGUGGUGAAAUCCUGGAGCUCAACUCCAGAACUGCCUUCGAUACUGAGAGUCUUGAGUCCGGGAGAGGUGAGUGGAACUGCGAGUGUAGAGGUGAAAUUCGUAGAUAUUCGCAAGAACACCAGUGGCGAAGGCGGCUCACUGGCCCGGUACUGACGCUGAGGUGCGAAAAGCGUGGGGAGCAAACAGG
rnacentral:rRNA from 1 species